rnacentral:tRNA from 1 species
GACCGCGUACCUCAGUUGGCAGAGCAUUGUACUAGCAUUCCAAAGGUCGAAGGUUCGAUUCCCACCGUGGUCA